rnacentral:tRNA from 1 species
AAAUUUAAAGGUAUAUAAUUAUCAUUUUCUAU